GGUAUUGAUACCAGCGUUAAUGCACUGAAUCCCAUCAGAAAUUUGUAUUUAAGCUCGCUUGGGAUAGAGUAGUACUAGAAUGGGUGACCUCCCAGAAAGUCCUAGUGUAUUU
rnacentral:rRNA from 1 species